rnacentral:antisense_RNA from 1 species
UGUUGCGGCGGCUGUGCGCGGGCACGCUUCGGCGUGGUCGAGUCUCCGAUGCUCGGUAUUCCUACCCCGCGUAUAGCUGCCACCCAA